rnacentral:rRNA from 1 species
CGUUGAAGGGGGCAUGCGGAGGGAUCAUUA